UACGAAGGGGGCUAGCGUUGCUCGGAAUCACUGGGCGUAAAGGGUGCGUAGGCGGGUCUUUAAGUCAGAGGUGAAAUCCUGGAGCUCAACUCCAGAACUGCCUUUGAUACUGAGGAUCUUGAGUUCGGGAGAGGUGAGUGGAACUGCGAGUGUAGAGGUGAAAUUCGUAGAUAUUCGCAAGAACACCAGUGGCGAGGGCGGCUCACUGGCCCGAUACUGACGCUGAGGCACGAAAGCGUGGGGAGCAAACAGG
rnacentral:rRNA from 1 species